rnacentral:rRNA from 1 species
UUAUGGACAACAGGUUGAUAUUCCUGUACCACCUCCUCACCAUUUGAGCAAUGGGGGGACGCAGGAGGAUAGGGUAAGCGCGGUAUUGGAUAUCCGCGUCCAAGCAGUUAGGCUGGGAAAUAGGCAAAUCCGUUUCCCAUAAGGCUGAGCUGUGAUGGCGAGCGAAAUAUAGUAGCGAAGUUCCUGAUUCCACACUGCCAAGAAAAGCCUCUAGCGAGGUGAGAGGUGCCCGUACCGCAAACCGUCACAGGUAGGCGAGGAGAGAAUCCUAAGGUGAUCGAGAGAACUCUCGUUAAGGAACUCGGCAAAAUGACCCCGUAACUUCGGGAGAAGGGGUGCUCUGUUAGGGUGCAAGCCCGAGAGAGCCGCAGUGAAUAGGCCCAGGCGACUGUUUAGCAAAAACACAGGUCUCUGCGAAGCCGUAAGGCGAAGUAUAGGGGCUGACGCCUGCCCGGUGCUGGAAGGUUAAGAGGAGCGCUUAGCGUAAGCGAAGGUGCGAAUUGAAGCCCCAGUAAACGGCGGCCGUAACAAUAACGGUCCUAAGGUAGCGAAAUUCCUUGUCGGGUAAGUUCCGACCCGCACGAAAGGCGCAACGAUCUGGGCACUGUCUCAACGAGAGACUCGGUGAAAUUAUAGUACCUGUGAAGAUGCAGGUUACCCGCGACAGGACGGAAAGACCCCGUGGAGCUUUACUGCAGCCUGAUAUUGAAUGUUGGUACAGCUUGUACAGGAUAGGUAGGAGCCUUGGAAACCGGAGCGCCAGCUUCGGUGGAGGCAUCGGUGGGGUACUACCCUGGCUGUAUUGACCUUCUAACCCGCCGCCCUUAUCGGGCGAGGAGACAGUGUCAGGUGGGCAGUUUGACUGGGGCGGUCGCCUCCUAAAAGGUAACGGAGGCGCCCAAAGGUUCCCUCAGAAUGGUUGGAAAUCAUUCGCAGAGUGUAAAGGCACAAGGGAGCUUGACUGCGAGACCUACAAGUCGAGCAGGGACGAAAGUCGGGCUUAGUGAUCCGGUGGUUCCGCAUGGAAGGGCCAUCGCUCAACGGAUAAAAGCUGCCCCGGGGAUAACAGGCUUAUCUCCCCCAAGAGUCCACAUCGACGGGGAGGUUUGGCACCUCGAUGUCGGCUCAUCGCAUCCUGGGGCUGUAGUCGGUCCCAAGGGUUGGGCUGUUCGCCCAUUAAAGCGGUACGCGAGCUGGGUUCAGAACGUCGUGAGACAGUUCGGUCCCUAUCCGUCGCGGGCGCAGGAAAUUUGAGAGGAGCUGUCCUUAGUACGAGAGGACCGGGAUGGACGCACCGCUGGUGUACCAGUUGUUCUGCCAAGGGCAUCGCUGGGUAGCUAUGUGCGGACGGGAUAAGUGCUGAAAGCAUCUAAGCAUGAAGCCCCCCUCAAGAUGAGAUUUCCCAUUCCGCAAGGAAGUAAGAUCCCUGAAAGAUGAUCAGGUUGAUAGGUCUGAGGUGGAAGUGUGGCAACACAUGGAGCUGACAGAUACUAAUCGAUCGAGGACUUAACU